CCAUUCCCACGGCCACCGGCACUGUGCUGGGAGUCAGGCGUCCACAUUCUCCAGCUCUGCCAACAGUGCAGGCUAGCUUCACGGGCUCCAUCGUACAGAUGAGGAAACGGACGCUGAGGGAGAUGACAGGUCCUGCACCGGAGGCCGGCAUGGGAACCCAGCCUGUGGAGCAGGAUGCCCACACCGCUGGUCCUCAGCCUGAUGUCCCCCAGCACAGCUGGAGAAGUAGCAGGAACGUGGCACACUUCACUCCAGCUGUAGGCUUUUCCCGGGAAUUUUGUAUCCUUCACGCACGCCAACCCUAUGAGAUAGUGCGGGCCACGUGUGAUUUCCCCUUGCGUGGUCGAGGAACCAGAGGCCAAGGUCAGCCAACCUUCAAGGACCAGAGUCUGCCCAGGCUGGGCGCCGGCUCUCCGCCCUGAUCCAGUCGGCAGCUGCCUUCGUCCCCUGUGACCCUGCCGUGGCAGGCCGCGGGGUGGAGCAGUUUGGGGAACAGAUCCCAUUAAGCUGUGUCCGUCCACAUGAUGGCUCUGUCCCCAGCUGUAUGAUGACAAGACUGGAUGCAUCAGCCUCUUUACACCACCUCAGACCCUCUGGACCUCAGCUGCCUCCUGCUCCAGCCACCUCUGUGCCUCCGCAAGGACAGGCUCUGUGCUCCUGGAACGAGCACCCCUCGCCUGGGGGCUGCGCGGUCGCCACCUGAGAGAGCGGGGGCAGGAGCGGGUAUCGAGCUUCCUUUCUCCCCCAGGAUGAGCUUGUGCAGCUUCUCAGAGCUCGGGCCCAGGAGGCUGCUGCCAACUGGAUCCGAGCAUCAGCCCUCUGUGGCUCCCUGCUCUCUCCCCCGAUCGCCCCCUCUCCCUGGGCUCACGCUCCCUAACCAGGGUCUCAGACAGAGUCCGGAAGCCGCAGGCUCUGCUCCAGUGACCUGGUCAAGUCAGUGGGUUUAAGAGCCUCUCAGGCCUCUGUUCUGUGAAGGAUGUUCUCUUAAGAAAAA
rnacentral:lncRNA from 1 species